ACCUGAUGACAUCUUUGAUUCUGUCUUGUCCUAUAAACUAACUUUUGACAUCAAAGUAUUUGGUUAGAUGAUGGAUUUCUGUGUAUUUUUAAAUUGACAAAAAAUUGCAUGACAUAAUAUUUUAAAAUAUGUACACAUUGUAGAGUGGUUAAAUCUUCCCAGUGAAUACAUGUCUUACUUCCCAUACUUGUCAUUUUUUAUGGUGAAAACAGGUAAAAUCUACACUCUUAGUGAUUUUCAAGGACCUUGUUAUCAACAGUAGUCACCGUGUUGUGCAGUAGAUUUCUUGACCUUACUUCUUCUAUCUAACUGAAAUUUUGUGUCUUUUGGCUACAUACAAGUAAGAUCAUGCAGUGUUUGCCUUUCGGUACCUGACUUAUUUCACUUAAUAUCCUCCGAGUUCAUGCAUGUUUUCCUAAAUGUCAAGAUUUCCUUUUGCUUAAGAGGACAAAUGUGUAUGCCAUAUAGAUAUGUAUAUACUUCAUGUUUUCUGUAUCAGUUACCUGUUGAUGGACACUUAGACUCCAUAUUUUAGCUAUUGUGGAUAAUGCUGCGGUGGACACAGAAAUGCAAUUAUCUUGUUGACAUAUUGAUUUCAUUUCCUUUGGAUAUGCACCCAGUAGCGGAACUGCUGGAUUAUAUUGUAGUUCUAUUCCUUCCUUCCUUCCUUCCUUCCUUCCUUCCUUCCUUCCUUCCUUCCUUCCUUCCUUCCUUCUUUCUGUCUGUCUUUCCACGCAGAGUGGACAGUGAGAGAGACAGAGAGAAAGGUCUUCCUUUUGCUGUUGGUUCACCCUCCAAUGGUCACCACGGCUGGCGCGCUGCUGGUCUCCCAUGGGGUGCAGGGCCCAAGCACUUGGGCCAUCCUCCAUUUAGUUCUAUUUCUAGUAUUUUUGCUUGUUCAUGUUGUCUUGUGUAAUGGCUCUAUUCAUUUACACCCUCACCAGCAGUGUACAAGGGUUCCCUCUUCUCUGCAUUCUGGUUAACACUUCUUUUCUUUCAUGCUUUGAUAAUAGCCAUCCUCACAAGUAUGAGGUCAUAUUUCAUGGUGGUUUUAAUUUGAAUUUCCUUGAUGAUUAGUGAUGUUGAGCUUUUUAAAAAAUGUUUAUAAGUUGUUGGCCAUUCAUAUGAGAAAUGUCUGUUCAGGGUCCUUUGUGCCUUUUUAAAUUGGAUUAUUUUCUUGCUGUUGAGUUGUUCCUUAUAUAUUUUGGAUAUUAACCCCUAAGUAUGACUUAAAUUUUUUUCUUCCAUUCUGUAGGCUGUGUCUUUACUUUAUUGAUUAUUUCCUUUGCUGUACAGAAAUUUUUGGUUGAUGUAAUCUCAUUUGUCUGUUUUUGCUUCUGUUGCCUAUACAAUUUGGGGAUUUCUUAAACAAAUAAACUUUUUAUUUCUGCAAAAAGCAGAACACAUGAUGCAUGCUCCAUACAUUUUGGCUAGUUCCUUAUGUACAAGAAUGUUUGUUUAAAACCUUAAUUUAUCUAUUAGAAUAAUUUACAUUGGCAACGUGCUUCUGAAAUGCUUUGGAAGAGAACUGGGGAGAAAAUCUCUUUAGGGUACAAUCCUUUGGCCUAGGUCCAAUUUUGUUGUGGGACAACAUCUUAAAUGACAGUUUCCUCCUCAGAUCCCCUGAUGGCGCAUCAUCGCACAGGUAAUAAUCAAUAAAGGGUCUUUAUUUUCCCAGUUGAAGCCACCGUUAGGCUUCUAUUAGAGACAAAACAGCUGCAAGGCCUGUCCACUGUGCUAUUUUGGUCCUGCCUGUUUUUGAAGUAUUUUCAGUAAUACCAAUGGAUUGUUGAAUUUUACUUUCUCUGGAGUCAAGCGGCUAUUAUGCAUGGGCGGAAAAGGAAAGGAGAGAAUUUAAUGUAAGCACUGCAGUUUUUCAAAAGAAGUCAAGUUCUUUAGAGAAAGAGGAGAUAGCAGUGGGCAGUGCUACUCUGUGUGAAAAGGUGAGAUGGUUGGAAAACAGCGCAGCCAUCGGUCAGCCCCGUGUUUGCUUAGUAUUGGAUGAAUGAAAAUUCUAUUUGUACUUGAGGAUGAUAGAAUUUGAAAUGGUCGUAUUUCAGCUUCAUAAUGUUCUUGAGAGUGUGGCACACUUUUUUGUGUCUUUUUUUCUUUUCAUCUUUGAUGUCCAGCUGGUAUUUUGAGACAAGAGUAUGAUUAUGGAAUUGGAUUUGAAGAGCAGCACUAAAUCAUUCUCACUUGGUUCUUGACCUUCAUCCUAAACAGAAUAGAUUUCAUGGGAGGAAUCAGUUUGGGAAAGAUAUAAUUUAAUUCUGCUACGGGUCAACCAGAAAGGUUAAGUCCUUUAAGUUCCUCAUUCUGUGAUGCUGCUUGGUGAUGUUUUUGAAGAAAGCCAUUUUUAAUAUUAGAGUUACUUCCUUCUUGCCCUGUUUUAAAAUUUUGGGUCAGUUUUUCUUAGUAGUAUUUAUUUCUGUGUCUUUUAUGCUUUUUCUUGUGAAUUAAAGAUGAUACUGCCUCUAUUUUGACAUGCCAGGUGGCAAGUACUUAGUAUUUGGAAAAGUUGUCAUUGGAAAUUGGAAAGAUUUGUUUCCUACCUCCUCUGUCCCUUGAAACAAGAUAAUAGAUGAGGAUUGCUGUGAGGUUUUCUUCUGUAAGAUUUUUAUAUAACUGCCUUUUGGACAAAAAUCCACUAAGGAAAUCUCAGACAAUUUUUUUUUUCUCUUUUUUGUAGAGUUCUCUUUACUAAAUUCCCUUUUCAGGAGGCAACUCUCCACUCUCACUGCACUCAGGUUUGCCACAUGCACGAUAUGGCACUGCUGCUUCCCUUUGGAGGAACAUUUUGGGUCUGGUAGGCAGACUCUGUAGUUGUUAACCCAGGACACCAGGCUCUGAAACGCUCUUGCUUUGGGUAUGUUCUUUGCAGAUGUGGUCUCGUCUACACAGUCCUCUCAUUUCUUUCUUUUUUUUUUUUUUAAGAUUUUAUUUAUUUGAGAGGUUUAAGAUUUUACUUAUUUAUUUGAGAGGUAGUUACAACAGUGAAAGGAGAGGCAGAGAGAAACCUCCCAUUUCUUUUAUAAAUAUGAUUAUUUUACAUUUUCUUUAGGUUCCCCAACCAGCUCUUAUCCCGUUGCCUACUCUGACCUCCUGUCUCCUGAGAGGUUCCAAGCAGGGUGCCCCAGCUGUGCAGUGAGGAUGCCCUGGAAGGCCUCCCACCCCGCGAGCAGUGCCCUUUGCUGUGCUGAUCUCUUGUUGUUCCUUGUUACUCUGCUUCCUCACUCUGGCCUCACCACCCUGCGACUUCACAUUUCACCUGUUAGCUGUCAUUUUCAACCCACCCAACGUUUUGCUCAGCAGUGUUUCUUCAUUAACAUUUUCCCAUCUUUUGUGUGUGAGUUGGAAUGUUCUAGUAACUGCUUCCUUCAGAUGUGACCUGGUUUACUUGGCAGAUAGACUCAUUUUGAGGGAAACUGUGCUGUGGAUGUUUUGUCCCUUUUCUGUGAACUGCAGAUUGUCUAUUGGGCUUCUUGCUUUUGGGCAUAGUGAAUGUGAUGACAUAGAAUCUAGAAAUUCUUAAUAGCCUAAUUUUAUUAACUUUUUGGACUACUCAAGGUCACAAAAAGUCAGUGAAGCCUGAGCCAAUUCCAGUAUAUGAUGAAAUAACUGUAGCACCUGUGAAGUAAAACAUAGAUAUAGUGUUUACAGGGACCAAUGAGAACAGAUGUAAGAGACACAAUUUUCACGUCCAUAUGUGCACCACAGGUCCUCUGACCCAGAUAAAACUCAGUCUUCCAAGAGGGCAGCUGUCUCAGUAGCUUAGUUUCCAAGAGCGGAGACUUGAUCCUGUGCUCUGACUGUUAAAGCACCAAGCUUAGUACUUUGCCCCUGCUAGGCAUCCUUUACAAAUGGGUCAAAUGAAAUGAUGACUUCAGAGAUUGAGUAAGCAAUGCAUGUACCACAAUACAUAGUUGAAUGAGCACAUGAAGCAAUUCAGUUUGUGGCAUGACUGGAAGCGAGACCUCUACUCCUGUCUGACAUUCAUUUAACUACAUGUCAUUACCUCUGCUGGCUGCAUCCUCACCUUUAGACCCUGGCCUCUCCAAUCUGGUGUGUUUUUUUUUUUUAAGUGUAGACAGUCUGUAAAACCUUAGAGAUCAGAUACUGGUCUCAAGCUGGCCUCCACUCCAUGGUAGUAAGUUACGUUUCUCAGACCCAUUUUAAAGAAACAACCCAUUUCAAAAAAUUGUUUAGAAUGUAUAGUUAUUGCUUCCUUCCAUCCUUUUCAUUCUUGUGUCUUGCGUCAUCCUAACACACAUCCCUUAAGUAAUUGGGGCCAUUGUCAGGAGAGGUAUAAUGGAGACCUUUCAUUGACUUUCCUGGUUCCUUUUCUGAUGUUGUCUUAUGCACUUUUGGACUUCUUGUGCUCUGUUACCAUCCCAGUACACUGAUGGCUGUGUUGGUUCCUAAUAUCUUGUUAUCAUCAGCUCAUUCUUUGAUAUGACACUUUCUUGGUUGAACUUCUAUUUUAUUCCAGAUACCAUUCUAGCUACUCAAGAUAGCGGAGAGGGAAAAAAGGACAAAAAUCUCCACUGUUGCAGAGUUUAUGUUCUUGAAGGGAGAGGUAAACAAAUUAGUAAUCUAGAUUACCUUCUCCAUCCCUCAUGCUUUUCCUUUACUCUUAAGCCUGACCUUCCUUCCUCUAGAGUAAGUGGGGCCAUCUCUGCUGAGUGUGCCUAAGACACAUGAGACCAAAUGGCAAGUAGAGCAAGAAGAAAUGCUGGUGUGUGUGUGUGUGUGUGUGUGUGUGUAAACUGGAGACAACUGGAAAAACCUAUAAACAAUAAAAGUAUAAGUCACAUUAGAAAGCCAGGUUUAGAUUAGGGAAAGGUUACUAAAAAUACUAAAAAAUUAGUCUUGUAUAUUAGUUGGCUUAUUUCUGUCAUCGUAACUUUUUCCUUCAGGAAGAGACUUUAAGACUUAGGUAAAAUUAGUGUUCCCUGCCUGUGUUGUACCCUAUUGCGUCUAUCUGUGGCAAUUUCCCACAUAGGUAUCCUAACCUGGGAAAGAUUUAAGCUAGAGCUGUGGUUGGGGUCAUCUGCAGAUAGAAGAUAAUGAAUGCCUUAAGGAAGAGUGCACGCUCUAUAAGGGAAUGAGUGUAUAGGAUGAGAUGGGCCAGGGAAGUGAUGAGAGAGAGAGUUUAUAGGCAGAGAUGGGAGAGAGGAGAUCCCUGUGAACAGCCACAUGUGGGAUUCCAAAAAUACCCUUUAAGAGACUGAGAAAUGUAUGUGGAGUGGAAUUAUAGUAAAGACACAUUUGAGAGUUAUGCCUUUCAAGUGCUGUAGAGGUGUCAACAAAGCUACACACAAAAUGAAUCCACUGAAUUUAGCAAAAUUCUAAGUGAGAAGCCCAGGGAGCUAUGGAAUAAGCACAGCAAAACACAAGGAAUCGAACCAAAGAAGCACUGGCCAAAAGAAGCAGAGAAGGGAGGUGCUAGGUCCAUGCUUCCUGCCCAGUAUCACAUUUCCCGUGUCUGUGAAUAGGCUGUUUUUGUUCUACAUGGCGAUUUAGUGCAAUCAGAGAGAUGGCUCUCACAUUAGUGAGCUCCCAUUCGAUGUAACCCAUUUCCAUGAGAAAUGCAUUUCCAAGAGGAGACUGUGUUGUGCUCUGUUGAAAAUCAGCCUCUAGGAAACUCAUAGGGGAAUUCUGGGGGGAAAAGGAAAAGCUUCCAGGGAGAUGUUUUAAAAUCCUUUGAGCCGCGUAUAAUCACUGCAAACUUUGCAUGUAUAUUGACUGUACAUUAAGAGCACUUUCUGCAGUAAAGACCUCAAAGGCACUAGUCCAUUAUGAGAACAAACAGCAAUUUAAAGCAAUAUUUUCCAGAGAAAAGAACCAGGAGGAACAAAGAUGCCAGAGUUGGGGCUCUUUUGUCCUGUUCAUAGGUGAGAAAGUGUGCUUUUGAUUGAUAUGUACCAAAGACUGUGUUCAGCAUAGUAUGGUUUGGAUGGUUAAUGAAUGUUCAGAAUAGUAAUUUGAAACAUUUGGGGUGGUGCCUCCAGGCGCUUUUUCCAAUACCUCUUUUAUUAUCUCCAAUAUCUGGAACAUGCAGACGGAGAAUGGAAAUCACUGUGCUGCCUCUCCUUUGCUCCCUUUCUCAUGAGUCCGAGUGCUCAGACUCUGUAUAACAGCAAGACCUUCCGCUCCCAUGAUUUCUGCCCUUUCAUUUUUAGUAACGGGGCUAAAACUUUUUCUGUGAAAGGCAUGAGUUUAUCAUCUUUGGAAGACAGGACCCAUGAUGAGUCCAGCGUAUCUCUUUGUGCAUCAUUUUCUUCGGAUUUUUUUCUUACAGAAGGGUUUGUUUAUAGAAAUGUGGAAUGGCCUUGAGGGGGGAAACAUUUACUUUCUAAUUAAGAUCAAUGUACCGAAAUGAAAAGAUUAUUUUUCCCCAUUCUCAUGUGUUUGCUUCAUGUUUAUGUUUGAUUUUUGCAGUCACACAUUUUGCGUUGGUGGCAUUUGGUAGCAAGAUGCCACACAGAUAAGAUGCUACUGAGGACUAUCAGACCAUGACAACUUAAUAGCAUCUUGGUAAUGUGUCCAACUCAAAUCUAUUCAGAUUCAUAUACAGCAUAAUUUCAUAUGCCCCUUAGAAAAAUAAAAACAAGAAACAACACCAUUAUACAACACACCACUAAUUUCAGGCUUCAUUUACAAGCAAGUAAUGCUUUACUGUUAAAUAAAUAUUAAAGAGCUAUCUAUUAUUCUGUGUUGUGGCUGAAAAGUAUUGGUCAUGCAGUAACCCAGAUAGUUAAUAUAUUUGCAUUAAAUUAGAUAAAGACAAAAAAAAGUAUAAUAAGAGUCAGAAUACACCUUUGCUUAGCCCUAGAAUAUAUUACCUCUUUUUGAUGCCAUAGCAGUAUUUCAGAUACUAUACAAUUUAUCAUGGACAAAGUCAUUAAACUUCAUGAUACUCUAAGCUUGUUAGAAUACUGAAAGUAUGCAUAGCCUUCUUUUCUCUGGUUUCUAUUAUACUGCCAGGAAAUCUGAAGAUUAGUAGCAUAAGGUUGACAUUUUUGGAGGUGUACUAUGUUCCAGAGAGUAUGCUGAAGAUUUUGCAUAUAUUAUCCAUGAUCUUCACAGUAAUACUGUCCCCACUGUACAGAUUAGAAGAAUAAGGCUGGCCGGCGCUGCAGCUCACUAGGCUAAUCCUCCGUCUUGCGGCGCCGGCACACCGGAUUCUAGUCCCGGUCGGGCCGCCGGAUUCUGUCCCGGUUGCCCCUCUUCCAGGCCAGCUCUCUGCUGUGGCCCAGGAGUGCAGUGGAGGAUGGCCCAAGUCCUUGGGCCCUACACCCCAUGGGAGACCAGGAGAAGUACCUGGCUCCUGCCAUUGGAUCAGUGCGGUGCGCCGGCCAUGGCGGCCAUUGGAGGGUGAACCAACGGCAAAGGAAGACCUUUCUCUCUGUCUCUCUAUCUCACUGUCCACUCUGCCUGUCAAAAAAAAGAAUAAGGCUCAGAGAGUUUUAUUGCCCAAGUGUUUAUAAUUCAUAGUGAUCCAAGUCCAGCUGUGUCUGUCUCUAGCAUAAGACUCUUUCACUGGACCCUUUCUACUAGAAGUUUCUGGGGGUAGAUGGGCCCCAGGUUUUAAUAUUCUUUGGAAGAUGCCCUUGGAUAUUCUAAUAUUGAACAUUGAUUGGAAAAGGCUAUACAUUCACUAUUUUGACUUUCAUGAGAGCAAGUCAGGCAUCCAGUUUUGAUAUGUGGAGAUGAAGAAAUACUGACUAGCAAAUUUUAAGAUCUUCAUUUUACAUUAUCUUCAGGUUUCUGUUUGAAGUUGCUUCAUUCUUUACAAGGAAAAGAAGGAACAUAUUAUGUUUGCAAAUGCAUGUGCGUAUGUUGGACUGUUGCCAUGUAUCUCUCUCAUGUCCUUAAGCAUGGAAAGCUAGUUAAAUGGCAGAUAUGUAGAUGGAAUAGGUACAUGGAAAACAUGUGGAAACUAUUGAGUAAAACAAUGCGCUCAUAGAUAACAAGGUCAAGGAGAAAGAAAGUGUUGUGAAUGUACAGUACAAUCUCACAUAGCUUCAUAUGUGAGUCUUUGUGUGUGGACUCUUUUUGACUUAUAAUUUAAUAAACCUAAAAUGUUUAAGAGCAGAAGUCGCUGGAUUUGACAACUGAUUGUUUAAGCUGCAUAACCAGAGAUGGAAGAAGACUGUUGCUUUCUGGAGCUAGAGUAGGUAGGGUGGGUAAGUGGUGGUGAUAAAGAAAUAUUUCCUUGCUGUUGUCUGAUCUCAUAUCCUUGAUAUUUAGGUUUAGGUCAAAUCAUAUUGCCCAAGAAGCUGGCCUGUCUUAAAUAUUUUGUAGAUUAACAGCAAAGGUGAUUCCUAAUCUACAACUUUUAGUGAGAUUUUGUUGUUUUUGGCUUGAUGUGGUUUUCAUAAUGGUGUCAAAUCCUUUCUCACUUUCCUUUGCUUCCCAGGUAGGCUGAUGAACCCCUAAAAUAAUUCUGUAACAAUCCUUGUUCAAUAUUGAACUUUGCUUCCCUGUAUACCCUGCCUGCAGAUCAAACCCUACCCCGACUUCACAAUUUGUGUCUUCCAUACUGAGGGUUCUUAGCACUCACAACUGUGACAGAAGGCUGCAGAAGGCUGUCUGGGCUCAAUGACCAUCAGUAUCACAAGCACAGUUUGUUUGGAGGUGCUUACCUGUGUUCUAAUGUUUAUUUAGAGUUUCAAGGUGGGAUGAUGCUUCAAGUCAACAAGUGAGGCUAACAGAAUUUGACCUUAUCAUUAUUUCCUUUUCAUUCACUGUUGGCUACCAGGAAAUUCUAACAUUUGCAGUUGUUUUAGCUUAUAUGCUUUUUUGUUAUAGAAAAGAGAGGCAUUUCUUGUAAUAGUUAACAUGAUCUUACAAAGGGCUUCCUAAAGAUAGACAUACCCUGAUUUUCCUAGACGAAUGGGCUGUGUUCUGUGUCCUUGCCUAGCAUAGGGUUUAGCAAAGGACAUGGUCAUCAGCAGGGCUGGAGCAGAGACACGUUUAAUCAGAGGAGUGUUAGACUGAGGGACUACAAGCUAAUUGAGGCUGCUGGUGCUUACUGAACCAGGCCAUUCUUUGUUUCUGUUAAUUGCAGGGUGACUGGAAAUUUUAGGACAGUGGACAUUUCCAUCCAAUCAAAGACAGUGCUCACAAAAUAUCGGAGUAGUUCUCCAGUUGUGUAUUCCAGCUUCUCUGAAGUCAGGCUUUCUCAGUAAACCCAAGGAUCCGGGGACCUGAGCUUGGUGUUCCUCCUUACGACAGGGGACAGACAAGGACAAAAGAGACUCUCACAGGAAAAUCUCUAGGCAGUUGACUGACUUCUUCAGCAAGGGAGAAGGAGUGUGCUGGACAUUUUUAAAUUUUUGUGGUGGCAGAGAUAUGGGUCCUUAGUGAUCAUUUUAACCCCUACCUAAUCCAAAUUGACUUCAACCUAUUAAGUCCUACACUUGAUCUUAGCCAAAAGGCCGAGAAGUGACACCUAUUAAGUCCUAUUGUGAAUUUUUGGGAGAGUAUAAAGGUAAAAGUUCCUCUUUAAUCUUUUAAGGAAAAAAGAAAGAUAAAGCACAUAAGAUUACUCUACAAAGGAUUUUCCAACUGGGAAUUUGUGACUAUUAUUAUUUCUUAUUUUUCUAAGCAAGCAUGCAGUUUAGUGUUUCUUCUUCUUUGCUUAGACUAAUGUUAUAGCAUUGCCCUUCCAUGUUCCCAUAGGAAGGAGAGAGCAGUACAAGAGUAAUGCUGGUGGGAUUUCAAGCCCAUGGACACCAGAGCAUAGUGCCGUUUGUAGAUGUGUUUGCCCUUAGAAGAGAUGAAGGGGAAGCCAGCAUGGUGGGGAGAGGGAUGGCUAGAUCAGGACAGAAGCAGAAACUGCAGCUAGAGUCUGAGACCCACUAGGAUUAAUCCCAAGACACCUUUUUAUCCUGUGAGACUGUUUGCCUUCUCCUACCAGUGUUUCGAGUUUCUCUCACAAGCAAGAAACAUCGCUUCAACUAGAAGCAAGAUCCAUGCAGUGCCUUUAAGGUCCCUGUGUCUGCUUUCCAUUUGCUUUUCUGUUUGCUUUCCAUUUGGCCUACUUGAUUUCUCUUGUAUUCUGGGCACGUAGAGAAUUGCAUAUUUUUGUAGUGGGCCUAUUCUAUCUAUAUUUGAAUUUGCAGGAGGGCAUGCCAUUUAGAACAGUUUUACAUAGCAGUGGUGAAGGAAAAGAGACGACUUUGUGGUUGAAAUAGUAGCCUUCUUUCAAUGACAUUUGAAAGAUAGAUGUUCACCACCAUGCAUCUUUCCAGGCUACGGAUCCAGCAUAUCUUGAGAAGAUGAAUGGAUCAGAGAAGCUGGUUAAUUCAUUAUCUUUGUUUUGCUGCUGGCUACCCAGGGAGAGCUGCUACCAUGGCCAAUAGGUUGUCCUGAUCUUGUUUUUAUGUUGAUGUAAAGUAUUCAGUAUGCUGAACACUAAAAUUUCUUGUGGUACUUCAGUUUCUGGAGGACACUAAAAAUAGAGAGAAUGAAUGAAAUAUAUCCCACUGAAUAGUGGUCUCUUCCCCUCACUCCUGAAUAAAUUGGAAAUCUCUUUCUGCCAUCCUACAAUACAGAUUCCUAAUGUCUCGUUUCUUGCCCUAGCAUAGGGUUCUCUGGGGACUGGGAAUAGUGCAUUCAUAGUAUCGUUUCUGUAAUUUUCUCUGAUGCCAUCUGAAGUGGGAGUUAAGAAACCUGAAGACAGAACUGAUUUGAAAGAGGGAAUUAUCCUAGGAGGACAAGACUCUUCAUUAUGAUAAUUUAUAUCUGGCCAGAUUGAAAGGGUAGGGGGCCUCUGAGCUAGCCUGUCAUUUUCUGUUAAAGUUCUAGGAGAUACGAAUUGCUGACACAUUAGAACUGUGGUGAUGACAAAGUGAUCACUGCACUAGUAUUGUGCUUUCAAAGCAAUCUAGAGUAAAGUUUGGGGAAACAUUUUAGGAGUGUAUGAAAGUGUUGGGGCCAUUUUAAACCCUCAUUUUAUCUCCUUGCCUAAGGCAUGCUAUAGAUACAAAUCAAGUGGAGAAUAUAUAUCAGUUAGGAUGCAUUCUUUUGAAAGCAACAAUAAAACCAAUUCAAAUUGGCUUAAGACAACAAAGGGGAUAGAUAAGCUCCUGCACUGUUAGAAGGCCAAGGAAGGGCCAGCUUCAGACUGUAUUGAUCCAGAGUUAUUAGGACCCUGCCUUUUUUGCUCAUGAUUCUCUUGGCCUUGGCCUCCAUGGUACUUUGGCACCAUUCUGACUCUGGUUGCUUUCACGGUAGCAAGGUGCUGGGGCAGUUCCAGGUCUCUUGUGCACACAUGACCCUGUCCAGAGUAUGUGAAUAUGUCCUUGUACCUUUGUAUUUAGAAAGGACCCAAGAUUCAUUCUGAUUGGUCUACUUAGUUGGCUUAGAAUAGGUCACCUGCUCACGCCCUGAAGUGAGGUAGAGAGCAUUCCCAGAGUCACACAGAAUCUCAGAUGCACAUGGCAAUGUCAGAAAGGGCUGAAUGGAUGCUUGGGAUACAUCCUUGUGUCUCUAACAGCACACUGCAGUUGAGGUUCUUUUAAAAUUCACAGACAAAGGAAAGCAGAUUUCACGCCCACUUCCUCCCCGGAAGUUCCUGAUGAUUGUUAACACAUUAUAUCUAUUUAAUUUUUCAAGACACCCAGAGAAGCCAAAUCCCCCACUUAUGCUCCAGUGCAGUACGUCCUAGCCAGUGCAUCCCCCAUAUUUUCCCCCUUCACUCUUGAUGCAAUUUAAUCCCAUUUUCUUUCUGAUUUAAUAGUCAUUGGAAAGAAAGAACAGCCGGCGUAGUCAUUCCAUAUGAUACCCCUAAAUCUAUUUUCAGUGUUUUACUAUCACUUCAGUUAGCUUUGGUACCUCAUGUCAUAGUAAGGCAAAUGUCCUUAUUUUCUGUGAUCUCUAGCUUACUGAUUGGAGGUAGAUUCAAUCGACUUUCCUGAGGUCAUAUGCUGAGUUACGAGAGAGAGUUAGUAUUAAUGGUCACAACUCCAAGUUUGUAGGAGUUAACAAAAUGCAACCUGUUGGUCAGAUCUGGCCAUCGCCUGAUUUUGUAAAUAAAGUUUAAUUGGGGCACAGCCACAUCUAUUCAUUUACAUAUGUCUAUGACUACUUUCCACACUGCAAUGACAGGGUGGAAUAGUUGUGGCAGACACAGAAUGGCCUGAAAGGCCUAAAGUAUUUAUUACCUUGCCCUUUACAAGAAAAGUUUACUGAUCCAUGAAUUGAAUGAGCCAAAUUCUUCACUCUAGAAACUGAAAGAUUUUACAGCUAAAUGUUAGACUCUUUCCUAACCUUUCUAGAUAGAUUGUCUUUCAAAGUGAUCAAGGAAUAGUGGAAGGAGAAACAACCUGGAACGACUCAUGUGGUCCUAGCCUCUUAUUCCCCAGAAGAGAGACUGCUUAGAGACAACAAGUGACUUACACAGACUACACAGCAUAAUAGAGGUAGACCAGAAUACCCUUUCUUUUCUGUACCCAUAUUGUGUCUUGAAAGAGUCCCUAACCCUGCUGAUACCAAGGGAGAGGUAAGUAUUGAAAUAUUUGGGUGAGAACACUGGCAAGAGCAGCGAAGCUCUGCCACUUACCAAUUUGGGCAGGUCAUUUAAACUACCUGCUCCCAAUUUCUUCGUCUGCAGAAUGAAACUAACACCAGUACAGUGCUCCUGAAGUUAUGCUGUGAGCGGGACAUUCAAUGGAACAGACAUAGGAAUAUCUCAGUAAGUGUUAGCUACUGCGUCAUCAUGCAAAUCAGCAGCAGCAGGUACCCUGCACCCGGCCUUGCAUCUCUUCCGCCUGCCUGUGAGGACAAGGGCCCGCACUCCCUAUCCAAAGCCGUCUGCUUCACCUGGGAACUGGGUUGUUUUUCUCAGGCUGCCUCAAGGAUCUCAUUCUUUUGCUUCAGCUUUCUUACAUCUUCUGUUCCUUCCUCUCCACAGUUCCUUCAAAUUAUUAACAAAAUAGUAGACUUACAUAUACUAAAGACAGUGCCAUCAUCUGUGUCCUGUUGAUGUAGUAUAUUUCUCCCCUUCUCCUCCUUUCCCUAGUGGUUCACAUCUUGCUGGCUUUAUUCCUUCAAGUUUCAUUCUAACUUCAACUCUUCUAAAAGUGUCCUAGCUAGGUUCAAAUAAACACACACACACACACAAAUCUUAAGCAGCAUUAAAACUCCUGAGAACACACUUCAUGGGAACCUCCUUUUUCCUUCAUUUUGAACCAUAAUCCUAUUUUGCUUCUCGUCUCGUCUCCUAAUUAAUUUGUCUUCCAAAUUAUUUCUUCUUUGCUAUCUUGUACAUAAUUUCCCUGGUCUGAAGUUAAAAGUUCUUCCUGAUAAUCUUAUGCCUUGGUAUGGCUUCGGUGACUGUCCAGCUGAUGAAUGAAGUGUCCCUGUGAAUGAAGCAGAACUUACACCACUCCUCAAACUGUCCUUUCAAAUUACUCCUCCAUUUGAUAAUUCAUUCUUCUCCUCUUCAUUUACAUUUGUGUUCUAAUACCUAAUGCAUGCCAAACACUUGUUAUCAGUCCCAUUCUGUGCUGAGAGCUUUAAAAGCAUGAUAGAAGUUUAACAAGUAAUAACUCAGGAGAAAUUUUUUACCGAAAAUGUACAAGCUCAGUACAUUCAGGUAAGCAGCUUCGAAUCACGAAAGACCAUCACCAACAUUCUAGGAGCUGUCAGUGCUCUCGUCCGGUCAUUAACCCUGUGUGCAAUGACAGUUGUCACCCAAACUUCUAACAACAUUUUUAGUUUAACCUGUUUCUGUAUAUUAUUUAAACAUAGUCAUGCAGUAUAUAUUGGCUUCUUUCCUCAAUUUGAUGUUUGGAGAUUUGUCUGCCUUCUGUGUGUAACUGUUGAUUACUCAUGCUUCUUUCUGUAUGGUGUUCCCUUCAUAUGAACUUGCUACAAUCUCUGUAUCCAUUUUUCUGUUGCUAGAAACUUGGAAUAUUUUUAGUUUAUUUAUUAGUACAAAUAAAGCUAUUAUGAAAUUAUCAAAUACAUCAUUCAUUGCACCAUGCACACAUUUUUUGGGUAUAUUGCUUAAACUGAAGAUGCUAGGUUAUAGGUCUACAUGCAUUCAACAUAUUAAUAAUUUUAAAAAGUCACUUUAUUUCUCCAUUACUAGUAUAUGAGAGUUCUUGUUCAUGCAGCAUGUAUUCCAGCCCUCAAACAGUUCUGUGAGAUAGUGACUAUUUUUUUUCAUUUUGUAUUUGAAUAAAGUCUGAAUCUUAGAUAAAUAGCCAAUGUCAUGUACUGUAGUGAUAUAUCCCCCAAGGCAGUAUAACCCCAGAGCCUGCAUACUUUUAACCACUAUCCUUUUCUCCUUCUCUAGAAAAUAAAGAUGAUCCUUGGCUUUGUAACUCCCAAAGUUCCGAUACGUGAAGUUCAAGCCAGCCCAAUGUGAGCUCAAUGUGUGUCAACUCCUACUGUGGCCAACAGAUGGCACUAACAGUAGUUUGAAACUUUUCAUUUUGGGCUUCUGAACAAAGGAAUUUGGGUUUAGCCUCUUAGAACUAGUUUGUCUUCAUACUGGCCUGAGCUGUCCCAGGAGAACUAGAAACUUUGAAACCAUUCCUUUCAUCCACCCUACAGUGGGAUCCGUAGUCCCAUCCAUCUUACUCAAAACUAACUCUCAAGUAUACAACUACCCCCUGCCACACACACACACACACACACAUUACAUUCUCUUCUUCUUCCUCUGUCUUCCCAUUAUCCUCUUUUCUUGUCUCCCUUGAACACUUGCCACAGGUGGCUUCUAAGGAACUGCUCUGUCCUGCUUUGCUCUUACUCCUGAGGCAAGACCUGGGUCCUCUGUCCUGGGUGUCGAACGUAGUCUGGCACAGGGAAGGUACUCAUGUUUCGGCACUGACUGAAGUUUCAGCAGAAGCCCAAAGGUUCAAAAUAACUAUUUUUCCUUCUUUCAGUAAGCUCAAUGGGCAUUUAAUUUGCUCCAUGUGCUCAUGUUCUGGUGAUAUGCUCUGACCUACUGGAGCACAUGGCUCUGCCCAAACAAUGUAGCUUAUUUGUGUCUUCUGUCUUCUUUCUUUCAAAAGAUGGAGGACAGGAGGACUCAAACAAAAAGACCAUUUCUUUCGAGAAAAGCGCGGAUUGCCACAGCAGUUCUGAUGGGAGACUACGAUAUGACUAGGCUGCCGUCUAGCCUGGUUCAAAUCGAAUGUCUGGCCAAGUUACAAAGAGAGGAGGAGAGACAAAGAGAUCUUUGAUCCGUUAGUUCACUCUUGAAACGACAGCAGCAGCUGACGCUGGACCAGGCAGAAGCCAGGGUCCCAGAACGUCUUCCAGAUCUCCCGCGUGGGUGCAGGAGCCCAAGCACUUGGCCCAUCUUCUGCUGCUUUCCCAGGUGCAUUAGCAGGGAACUGGAUCAGAAAUGGAACAGCUGGGUCUUGAACUGGUGGCCCGUAUUGGAUGCCAACAUCACAGAUAGAGGCUUACCUUGCUCUACCACAAUGCCGGCGUCUGCCUUUCUGAACUCCCUCACAUCUCUCCAGGGAAGCUAACUUGUAUUUCAGUGACAGGAUCCGCUCGGGAGAAUUGGGGCCGGGCUGGAUAAGGUUCUCAAGGAGCUGAGUUUUGAGUUCAGGUGCCCGCAUGGCAGUGGAACAGUGCCUCCUGACCUUUCAGAACUUUGAGACCUCUGGGCGGUCUUAGAAUCACCUCAAGCCUCCAGUCCAGGAUACGCCUGCCUAGGGGAGUUCCAGGGACAGGUGGCAGACAUCACAGCCUGCGAGGCGAUGGGUACCGCAAUGAGCUCACCACAAAUCUCCAAGACUCCAAGCCACUCUCUGUUCCCAAGCAUAAAGCUAUGCUUCUGGAGGGGCAGCAAGAAACAACCUGGGACCAGGCUCCACUUCUUGGCAAGAGGACAGAGCAUCUUCUCGGGUGUCCAGGGGGCUGCUGAGGGAUCCUGAGGAAGAUGUGCUGGUCUGUGGGACAGAAAGGCAGCAGAAGAGCCCGCAAGUGCUGGAGCAGAACUCAAGCCGUGUCACUCACUGCAGACUCAAGUGUGCUGUGCUACAGCUCUGGAUUGGACUCUUUUCCUUUGCCAUCACCCACGUAACACAUGGUUCUGGAUGCUUUGGACUGGUUGGCUUUGUUUUUCUUUCUUGUCUUUUCCUUUUCUUGGCCCUUGGAAAUAUAUAAAAAAAGAAUUGCUUGAAAAAACUGUAAUUCUUUGCCAAAAUUAGCUUCAUUUAUGAACAAAUUCUAAUCCUAGUGAUUUUCUGAAAAGGAAUCCCAGGCUGCCAAGUAAAUGAGGCUGUGGGGUUUGAUUUGUCCAGUACUGAUCCUUACAUCAAAAAUACAUUUUUAUUAUUUUUUUUUUAAUUUGGAUACAGGUAAUGGCCCGAGUUACAUUUGCUUAACUACUGAAGUGACCUCAAUGUGUUAUCACUUAGAGUUGAAACACAAUCAAACACACAUUAUCCUUGGAGCUCUUGCAUGCUAUUUGAUAUACAGGUAGCACUACAAAGAAACACAGCCCUUACUGGUUGAAAUUUAAUUUCUGUUUGAUCCUGCAGUAGAAUGGUAGAGAUUAUAAAUUUCAUACAUGACUUUAAAAUGCCUUCAGUGUAGGCUGGUCAAUAGUGAGUAGUUUUGAAAUGCCAUUUUCUAAGGCAAAGCAGGAAUUGGAGAUCAACUGACCUCGUCAGCAGUGUUGCUCAGGUCAGUGUGGGGAGCUUCUCUUUUGGAGAAGUUGAAGAACAAGUUGCUUGUGUGGCUUGGUUUAUGGAAACUGUAGUAUUUCUGACUGUUUUGUAAUUUUGCUGCCUUGGAAUAAAACACCUUCCGUUAA